UGAGUACGAGCUGCUACGGCAGCGAAGUGGGUGAUGUCAAGCUUCCAAGAAAAGCCCUAUACCCGUUAAGGCAUGAUGGCCUGUACCCGAAACCGACACAGGUGGGGUGGUAGAGAAUACCGAGGGGCGCGAGGUAACUCUCUCUAAGGAACUCGGCAAAAUGGCCCCGUAACUUCGGGAGAAGGGGUGCCACCGCAAGGUGGUCGCAGUGAAGAGGCCCAGGCGACUGUUUACCAAAAACACAGGUCUCCGCUAAGUCGCAAGACGAUGUAUGGGGGCUGACGCCUGCCCAGUGCCGGAAGGUUAAGGAAGCUGGUCAGCGCAAGCGAAGCUGGCGACUGAAGCCCCGGUGAACGGCGGCCGUAACUAUAACGGUCCUAAGGUAGCGAAAUUCCUUGUCGGGUAAGUUCCGACCCGCACGAAAGGCGUAACGAUCUGGGCGCUGUCUCGGAGAGAGGCUCGGCGAAAUAGAAUUGUCUGUGAAGAUGCGGACUACGUGCACCCGGACAGAAAGACCCUAUGAAGCUUUACUGUAGCUUGGUAUUGUGCCCGGGCUCUGAAUGCGCAGGAUAGGUGGGAGGCUUUGAUCCAUUGCUUGUGGGUGAUGGUGAGCCACUGGUGAGAUACCACUCUUUCAGAGCUAGGGUUCUAACGGUCACCCGUUAUCCGGGGACCGGACAGUAUCAGGUGGGCAGUUUGACUGGGGCGGUCGCCUCCUAAAAGGUAACGUAGGCGCGCAAAGGUUCCCUCAGGCUGGUUGGAAAUCAGUCGACGAGUGUAAAGGCAGAAGGGAGCUUGACUGUGAGACCUACAAGUCGAACAGGGACGAAAGUCGGCCUUAGUGAUCCGACGGUUCUGAGUGGAAGGGCCGUCGCUCAACGGAUAAAAGUUACUCUAGGAUAACAGGCUGAUCUCCCCCAAGAGUUCACAUCGACGGGGAGGUUUGGCACCUCGAUGUCGGCUCAUCGCAACCUGGGGCUGAAGUCGGUCCCAAGGGUUGGGCUGUUCGCCCAUUAAAGCGGUACGCGAGCUGGGUUCAGAACGUCGUGAGACAGUUCGGUCCAUAUCCGGUGCACGCGCAGGAACAUUGAGAGGAUUUCUCCCUAGUACGAGAGGACCGGGGGGAACGCACCUCUGGUGUACCAGUUAUCGUGCCAACGGUAAACGCUGGGUAGCCAUGUGCGGAGUGGAUAACCGCUGAAAGCAUCUAAGUGGGAAGCCCACCUCAAGAUGAGUGUUCCCAUGGCAUAAGCCAGUAAGGUCACGGGAAGAACACCCUUGAUAGGCUCUACGUGGAAGCGUGGCAACACGUGAAGCGGAGGAGUACUAAUAGACC
rnacentral:rRNA from 1 species